UACGGAGGGAGCUAGCGUUGUUCGGAAUUACUGGGCGUAAAGCGCACGUAGGCGGCUUUGUAAGUUAGGGGUGAAAGCCCGGAGCUCAACUCCGGAAUUGCCUUUAAGACUGCAUCGCUUGAAUCCGGGAGAGGUGAGUGGAAUUCCGAGUGUAGAGGUGAAAUUCGUAGAUAUUGGGAAGAACACCGGUGGCGAAGGCGGCGCUCUGGACCGAUACUGACGCUGAGGCGCGAAAGCGUGGGGAGCAAACAGG
rnacentral:rRNA from 1 species